ensembl:lncRNA
GUAAAUCUGUAAAUUAACCAAUGCGGCGGUUACUAUACACAUUACAUGUACCUGGAAAAUCUGCAUAUUCAACUGUAAGGGGAAUUUGCAAGUUAACUAGUUAUUAUUUGCAUAUUGCCUGACUAAACAGGAAAUCUGGGAGGCAUUCACACAUUUCCCAAUGGUUAAUGUGGAUGGAGACGCUACAGUGCAGCUUGGCCAUGCUCUGCCUUGCGUGGCACAGUAGAAUUUUGCACCCUCAAUAAUUCUUUCCUUGUGAAAUGUGGGAAUGCGUUCCAGUUUUCCUGUCUGGUCGGGGAAUAAUAACGUAAUUUUUUCUCUUACUGUACAUAUUAACUAUUUGAUCCUCUGCUGAUUUUUCUGGAUUUUUUGUUGUUAUUCUGUCUCUCACUGUUUAAAUAAACCUACCAUUAACAUUGUAGACUGAUCAUUACUUUGUCAGUGGGCAAAAGUUCAAAAUCAGCAGUGGAUCAAAGAAAAAUUCCCUCAAUGUAUACUGCACAGUUUCUAAGGGAAUCUGUAUCACUAUUUUAUCACAAUGUAUAACCAAUUGCAAACUAACUGAUCACUCAAUUGUUUUGCAGGUGUCUCUUGUGGCAGGCUCUGAUGUCCAAGUCCCUAUAAGAAAGCUUAAAUGUCUGCGGACUGCAAAUCCAUCAGUCUACAUCGGGGACCUUGCCGUGCUUGUCUAUGGCAGGGAAACACUGUCCCAUUCAAGUUUGACAGGGAGACAAUCAGGGGCACACAAAGACGUGGAAUCAAAGCCACAACUUGAUAAUACAAAACUAGACGCUACAAUUGGCCAUGCUCUGUCAAAGUUCCCUGACAUCAGCAUUCAAGAUGUGAGACAUAUCAUAAGAAAAACAUGCAACAAUGAAAGCUACAAAAACAAACCACUGAAAAGAAGAUAUGAAAAUAAUUUUUGUUUCCAUUUAGUUGAUCAUUUUUGGGUUGGAUUUGUGGUUCCUCUGCAUCAUGAUGGCCAUUUAACAGGGAAGAAAUUGUACAGAAGUACAACAGUUGUAGCCAGCCAGUGACUGAUUUCAGAGAGGCUCUUGCAUGACAUAUUCUAAUAUUAACCUACCCUAAAGACUGUUUAUGCUGUGUGUUUAUUGUGUUUUGAACUGGGAUGUCGAUUUCAGUUUUCAUUGUUAUGUUUUGGCGUACAAUACAAUAUUUGUUAGAAAAUUCUGAUUUAUGUGAAUUUUUAUGUGUAUUGUCCACUGGUAGUGGUACAAGUGAAUUAACUUCAAGUCCACUUCAAGUACAGUUAAAGGUAUAUUUCAAG